ACAUUUGGUUUGCGAAAAUAAAAUGUGGUUGAAAUGUUCAUUGAAAAUUAAAAAAAUUAAAUGAAUUUAUACAUUGCAACAUCUUCUUAGAUAUAUAAUAAAGCGAGGUAUUAUUGAAAAUUUUGAUGGUUUUAAUCACUGAGCAAUAACAUUAGACGCUGUUUACAUGGUACGAAAGAUUUAUAGAAAUGAUAAAAAAAUAUUAACAAAAAAUGGCAAAAAUUUGUGUCAGAAGUAUA
rnacentral:lncRNA from 1 species